rfam:Syphacia muris strain Valencia genome assembly, scaffold: SMTV_scaffold0001674
UCCUUUGGUUAUCUAGCUGUAUGAGUGAAGUUGAUUGAUCAUAAAGCUAGGUUACCAAAGCU